GUUGGAGCUCUUUCCUCUAUCUCUUUCUCUCUUUCCUCCCCUGACAACCUGACUUCUUGAUUUCACCGACCGGGAUACACACAAACUGACUUUAGACUGCUAGUUUAAGACACUAGCAGUCUGCACUUGCUUCACCACGAUAUGCCUGGCUGCUACUUUGCUCUGCAGAAGCGUGAGACUUGGGCUGUACCCAAUAAUGACAAACGAGAGGGGGGAUAAUAGGAAGACUUUCUAAUGAUUUUGUAAAAAUGGAGAAACAAACCACAACAAAACAACGAAACAAACCACCUUAAUUUGAUGAUUUAAUCCGAAAUCCGUUCUCUGGGGCGCCCCGUCAGUGCUGCGCCCUUGGAAUCAUCCUAAUUAACCCCCCCUAAGGACGUCCCUGGAUGCGCCCGUAGCAUUCGCCUAUACUGCCUUUGCCCAGAGCCGGGCCUGUGCACAGGUCCUGUUGCGGCCUUCAGCUGCAGCCUCUCCUCAGAGCCGCUUCGCUCUCGACGAGCUUCGCUUUCAUCUGGGCGAUCUUCUCGUCCAGUGCCAGCGCUUCGAAGUCACAGUCUCUGUAAUUCUUCUGAGCUGAUCCGAGUCUGCCCUCAUGUGGCGGGACAAAGACACUAGGGUGGUCCUGGUCCCCAAACUGGGGGCUGCUGGUUGCUUCUGGGUGGUCUGUGUUGGGAGCGCUGGCGGUCUCAGAGGGGGUGUCCUCAGACUCUUCUUCUGGGUCUUGAUGAGGAGAAUGAGGGUCUCCUGGGACUGGGUAAGAAGCAGCAGAGUCUUCUGGGACUGGGUGAGAAGCAGCAGGGUCUUCUGGGACUGGUUUAGAAGUAGCAGUGUCUUCUGGGACUUGUAGUCCUCCAGAGUUUCUCAGCGUGCGUUCGGUCUGGUGAGGUUCUAAGUAAUAAUUAAAACAGUACUUAGGUAAACACGGAGUGUGAACUCACCCAACUAAUAAAACACGG
ensembl:lncRNA